UUUAUACUGACCAUGUAUUUAAAAUAACCUUUGCUCGUUUUUACUACUGUUAUUGUUUGCAGUUUAAAUAUUGUCUAUCAAAACGAGGUUCUGCCAGUUCCUCAUGGAGUGAGUUCCUCUUCGAUUUUACAACUGGAAACACCAAAUUAUAUAAUUUAGUGACUUAUAUCUAAUACUGGCGAUGUUAUUUCAUCUCUCCAGUGCAUUUUAUAGAAUGGCCGAGCAAGUUCAGCCCGUUGGAGUUUGAAGCUAACAGUGAAGGCUGCAGGAUGUCCUCAUCGAGUUCGGAAAAAGCAAGUUCCUAUUCGACGACAUUAGGAAAAUUCGGCUAUGGUAUAUAAAGCUCAAGCGAAAGUGCAACCUCCUGCUUCUGAACCACCACCGGCACGAUCAGCAGCGGAAUUGAUUUUAGCAGAAAAACAUUGAUGAUCGUCAGUAUGUUCAAUAUCGCAACUGCCUCACCAGGUUGCAAUACGUUUAGUGGAUUCCCUGAAGCCGAAGAGCAUAAUCUUUCCGACUUAGGACCGCUCCAGCCAAUGCUCCGUCAUGUUAAUCUGGAGGCCCACCCAUUUGGCCGUUUCCCAUCGGGGGAGCUUGAGGCGGUCUCCGCGGAUAAUAAUCGGCGUUGAACCUGAAAAAGGCAACUUACAUUCAAACCAGCCCCAACAGAUAUCCAAUCGUCCACACAAUCCACAAGAAAAAUUGAAGGGAUGCCGCUGCCUCUACCAUUGAAAGGCCCUCAUACUACGGUGGCAACAUUUGUAAAUGAUGUUCCGAUGCAGUCAAUGCGGAUCCGUUUAUUUCGUCAUUAGCUCAAUUUGGUACCGGCAGCAGCUGAAAAUGUACGCUUCCGUGGAUCUCCAGUAUUAGAUCUUAGCAGGCUUGCAAUGCUAAUCAUCCGUAAUCCGUUGCCAACGACUCAGGAUCCCCAUGAAACCGCCGAAAAUUCUACAUCACUUAGCCACCGAAAACCAGCGCUAAAAAAAUAUUAUGCAAUGAAAUUCGGAAAACAUAUUGUAAUUUGUUUCA